GAGACGUAUGGUGAGGCAGAUUCCUAAAAUGGGAUUGCUUGGUGUAAGGUGCAGGGAAGGGAAAGAGCAGUGUAGAGGUGUCCUUCUUGCACUGGCUGCUUUUCAGGUAACUUGAACCCAAAGUAAUCAAUAUGCCACUGAGGCAGGUCUUGGGCCCUGGGCCCCAGCACAGGCCUGGCCCCGUCCUGAUGGAUGGCGCUCCCAAGCCAGGGUCAGCUUGCUUGGCCACUGGCUUAGCAUCAGCUCAAGUUCAUCAGGACAAAGGCUGGGCCUGGGGGAAGGAGUGGCUGUUGGGGACUGCAGCAAACACCUCUGGAGGAAGGGCCCUGAGCUAUGCUUUGGACAAUGUAGGGGGUUCUUCCGUGAAGCACUGAAGGGUCUGAGAUUUCACCUACUUUGCAAGCUGAGAAGUGAGCCUGCCGCAGUUUCAGAAGACAAGCCCAGGGUCCGGGACAGACAGUGGACACCUCACAGCAGGAGCAGUAAGGACACAUCACCCAGGGGCUCUGCCAGGGCCAGCCCACACCUGCCUGCAUGGUUCAUGGAGAGGAGGGCUGGGGGGAGGGGACCAGGCACUUCUGUGCUGAGCAUGACCUUUGCCCCAGGGAAACACUAUGGUAAUUAAACUGGACAGGAGACAAACUUGCUCUCUGCUCCAGGGGGUGACACUGUUUCCAUCUUCUAAGGCGGUUCACGAGGAAAACGUCCUCAAAAG
rnacentral:lncRNA from 1 species